CAAGAGUGGGGCAGCCAUGUGCUCUAGGAGAGGGCUCUGGGGGGGGGAGGGGAGGCAUGAGCCUCUGUCAGUUCUCAGCCCAUACCCUAUGCCAGAGUCCUCUCACCCUGCACACCACAGACAUUCUGGGAAUCCUUUGCAAUCACCUGCUCCAACUGUGGGGCAAAACCAAACAUCUGCUGCCACCCAUGUAUUUCAGGUAGGCAUGCUCUUCGUGAGCUCCCCAUUCCUGGAGAACACCCCCUGUCUUCAUCCUCUGCACCUCCGCUACAGACAGCUCUGUGGAGUGUAAACUGAAAAGCAAUGCCACUUUUCUGAGUGAGAAGCAGAUGAUCCCAGAUAAUGCAGCUCUCUCCCUUCAUGAAAGAAGCUUCUGUUUCCAGUUUCUUGAGAGAAUUUUACAGAGAAUCACAACUAGCCAAAGGACAGAGAGUAAGUGAUAGUGGAGUGCUUAGGCCCCAAUGGGACAUCUGUAAUACAGCAUCUAUACCCACGAUUCAGGGAUCAUCACAGAAGAGAGGCCAAAAGGAUUGUGCGAGCCGGAGAACCAGGACAGUUGCCAUGAGAUAGUGUCUCCUAAACACAAUAUGGUUAUCUGCACAAGAUCAAACCAGUCGACAUGGGAACAUAAUGGUGGAGGUGUGACAAGGUCUCAGCCCUCACUAAAGAACUAAAGUCAAUCAAUAGCAACUGAGGGAGAGAAGGUAGUUCUCUCCAGAGAGAAGAUCUGAUUGAUACCCAAGCCCUGAGAUGAGCCCUUUACCCAUGUAAAUGCAAGAAACACUAACUUGACUCUGUGUGUGUGUGUGUGUGUGUGUGUGUGUGUGUGUGUGUGUGCGCACGUGUGCACGCACAUGCGUGUGUGCACAUACACACUAUAGCAAACAGAGGUUUUGGGAUACUCAGGAGGAGUUGGAGAGGUUAGGGGUAAGGAAAGAAAUGAUGUAACUACAGUGUAGCUAGGUAUGGAAUUCUCAAACACCUUUUUAGUGUGGCAUACCCAUACAAUAGAAUGUUACUCAACAAUGAAAACAGAACAAAGAGCUAAGAGAUAUGACAACACAGGCAGACCCUCAGAAAACUAUGCUAUAAGAAGGAAGCAAAUCACAAAGUCUGCGACUCCGCCUGCAUUCUGUCUAGAAGACAAAGUCCAUACAAGUAGAAAGCAUACUAGCAAUUCCAGGGAAAUGGUGGAGAAUGACGGCUAGUGGUUCAAGGUCUCCUUCUGGAAUAAUAAAAACAUCUGUGAUUGGCAGUGGUGAUGGCUGUACAAACCUGUGAAUAUAAAUUAAAAACAAAAACAUUGAAUUGUGAAUUUAAAAUGGUUUAUUGGGGGCAGGAGAGAAGGCUCGGCAGUUAAGAGCACUGGCUGCUCCUCCAGAGGUCUCACAUUCAAGUCCCAGCACCCACAUGGCAGCUCGCAGCUGUCUGUAACUACUGUUCCAGGAGUGAGACACCAAUACACAUAAAAUAAAAUUAAAUCUUAAAAAUAAAUAAAAUAACUUUUAAAAAUAAAAUAAAA
rnacentral:lncRNA from 1 species